UACGGAGGGCGCAAGCGUUGUUCGGAAUCACUGGGCGUAAAGCGCGUGUAGGCGGCCGGGCAAGUCGGAUGUGAAAUCCCGAGGCUCAACCUCGGAACUGCAUUCGAAACUGCUCGGCUCGAGUCCCGGAGAGGAUGGCGGAAUUCCCGGUGUAGGGGUGAAAUCCGUAGAUAUCGGGAGGAACACCAGUGGCGAAGGCGGCCAUCUGGACGGUGACUGACGCUGAGACGCGAAAGCGUGGGGAGCAAACAGGAUUAGAUACCCUGGUAGUCCACGCUGUAAACGGUGAGUGCUAGACGUCGCGGGUAUUGACCCCCGCGGUGUCGAAGCUAACGCGUUAAGCACUCCGCCUGGGGAGUACGGCCGCAAGGCUAAA
rnacentral:rRNA from 1 species